UACGUAGGGUGCAAGCGUUGUCCGGAAUUAUUGGGCGUAAAGAGCUCGUAGGCGGUUUGUCGCGUCUGCUGUGAAAUCCCCGAGGCUCAACCUCGGGCCUGCAGUGGGUACGGGCAGACUAGAGUGCGGUAGGGGAGAUUGGAAUUCCUGGUGUAGCGGUGGAAUGCGCAGAUAUCAGGAGGAACACCGAUGGCGAAGGCAGAUCUCUGGGCCGUAACUGACGCUGAGGAGCGAAAGCGUGGGGAGCGAACAGG
rnacentral:rRNA from 1 species